CGCCCCGACCGGCUCCGAGCGAGGCGUCCCCGCGGCAGCUGCCGGUAAGAGACCACCGCGGAGCCGCUGCGAAAGAACCAACAUGCAAAGUGGAAGGAAACCCGAAACUGCUCUUUUAACAAAAAAGUAUUGGCUUUCUGCUUCUUUCACUUGUUUUCCUUUUGCUUCUUAAUGGAAGGAGCGGGAUUUUCUGAAUCAUUGAGGCAAAAUUUGGGCGUCGCUGGCUGGAGAUAAGAUGAAAGAAGACUUGAAAAUAUAUCGAUACUCUGUGACUAUUGAUUCAGAUGCACCUUUCACAAACAGAGGGGAAUAGUGGUUAAAAGCACUACAGUUUCAUCAAAAGAAGCUAAUGGAGGAGCUAUGUUGAUUAUUUUUUUUUAUUAAUUUUUUUUCCUUCCCGCUCUCCCAUGAGUCCCAAAAGAGAAAGAUGGAAAGAGCGUGUAUGGAAAUUGAGAUAAGGGGAAGGCUGAAGACAGUAACUUUGGUUUUGAAGUCUGUUUUCCAAGUGCUGUAAAUUCCCUAUUUCAUCGAAUAUAACACAAUGUUCUGAAUAAAUUAUAUCAUUUUGUGAUCAGUGGAGUUUUUGUCAGCUCUAGAAGUGGAAUUUGACCUGAUUGAAAGCCUUUU